AGUAUUAUACUUAAACCUGAAUUUAUCUGUUAAACGUAAUAUGAACAUUUCACGUCGCUUUAUCCCUUGACAUGUUAUAUGGCAUCAGUCCAGCAGAACAAAGCGGUGGCGCUGCGAAGAUGAUAUAAAUCAAAUGCGCGUGCGCUACUGCUGUCACGCGGAGUACGUACUCAGCACGGAGUAAGGACAGAGCACGCCGAAACACGGACACACGUUACCUCAUAUCUUUAUAAAGUUUAUACCACGUCUAGGAAUCGUUUUAUGGGAUAUUUUAACCUAAUGAGCACAUCUGGAGAUGGUUGUUGGCAUUCUCGGAGGUGUAGCCGCGAUGUGAUGGUUGGCAGCGGUACACGGCGCCCGGACGUUGAACGUUCUCCACGCGAUAGGGCUCGUCCUCUGGAGCCCCCACCAGUAUCCUACAAAGAAAAGCUGAUUAACAAACAGGCAACUUCCAUUCUUCAUUUAGAUAUUGACAGAACAACAAAAGUAGGGUCACAACUCAUUCGUAUUUGAUCUGCAUUCCAAUAGUAUCGACUCUAUAUUGUUACUGUGCAGUUAACAUUAAGUUAAAUCACCAAUUUUAUUAACAAUGAAUUGUCGGUAACCGAUUUAUAUUCACACAAUACGGUAUAACUGUGUCAAGAAUGAAUUCUGUGCACGAAUUCGUUGCGAAAUGUAUUUGCAUUAAUAUGAGAACGAAAGCAUUAUGGAAGCGGAUGUACCGCUAUCGUAAUAAUAUUAUAUCUUCGGAUUAUUUCGGCACUCCAAAAGCGGCAGCCAUAACCAUCAAUUCAAUUAUUGUGUUAUGACUUACGUUCAGUUCUUUCGUUUUAAAUAUUGAAUAUAAUAUUAUUCUGAUUGGUUUGAGAGCGGCUUCCGAUAGAUUUACAUAUCUGCAUAUACAUAUUUAUUAUUUACGUAAGUUAUGUAAUCUCCAGGUCGAUAUUAAUUUGAAAUAUGACUUAUUUCUUUCGGUCGGUAACAGUUUUUCCGCUGUGGUACAAUAUAAUGUUUUAACAUAAAUUCUUAACACGCCUUGAAUAACUUAUACGUAUAUUUUUUUAAUUAAAUAAUAAGGCUUGUAAGUAGUGAUGAAGAAGACGAUGAAUAAGGUCAAACAAUGGUAUAGAUGGUGAAGGCUGGCUGCGUGCCAGCACGCAAAUAGACGGAGUUCAAUCCCCGGCUGGGCAAACACUCGCCAAAUUAUAUUUCUAUAAGUCUGACUCAUUUUGGACACUAAAUUAAUACAACUUUGAUAUCCGAGACAUGGAUACGAAAAGCGUUAAAUGGGUUAUUGAAUGUAACAAACAAAUCGCAGGCAAUAGCGUUGUUGGCGACACAGAACGUUAUAUUUGCAACAUGCAAACAAGUUGCCAAUUAGAAAUACGAUUUUAUUUUUAACUACACGCUGUUUCCAAUUUAUUAUACUUAAUAUUGUGAAUAAAUUUAUUUUAAAGGGCUCGGUAAAAAGGUUCCUACGUGACAUGUCUUCAUAUUGUAGGAUGUGGCAAGCGACAACGAUAUUUCGGUCUCCGGAAGGGGGACUAUUUUCAGAAUCGUCUCACCUUUAGAGUUGUCGCACUGGCGAAAUAUAACAAAUGAGAUGUUACUAUUUAGUUAAGUAAUAUUUAAAAGUGAUUUUUAUUUUUUCUCUGAAAUAUUAUGUUAUUUUUGACAGAAAUGUUGUUUUUCUGUCAAUUCAAUUACAUCAUUUGACGUCAAUUUUGAAGAAUAAUGAAUAAUGGUCCUGUAUGACUUUACCAGUGAAGUAAUGGAAAUGAUUACCCUGUGCCCAGUAAUUAUGAUUUGUCAAGUGUACGUGACAAGUCUAAUACGAAAGAUUUUGAGUCACAAAAUGACUGACUCAUAAUGUCUCAGUGUUUGAUGCCAAGACGCCACCUCGUUUAUAUUUAUAUAUUAUAUUUUUGUUUUCAUCAUAACAUUUUAGCGAAUUGGUGUUUUAUUUACAAGUUUAGAAACAAUCUAUUGUAGAGCUGGCGUAGACAUUUCAUUAUUAAUGCAUCAAAUAAAAAAUAAAACCAUUACUCAUUUC